UACGUAGGGUGCAAGCGUUAAUCGGAAUUACUGGGCGUAAAGCGUGCGCAGGCGGUUUUGUAAGCCAGAUGUGAAAGCCCCGGGCUCAACCUGGGAGCGGCAUUCGAUACUGGCAAACUGGAGUACGAGAGAGGGGGGUGGAAUUCCAGGUGUAGCGGUGAAAUGCGUAGAUAUCUGGAGGAACACCGGUGGCGAAGGCGGCCCCCUGGCUCGAUACUGACACCGAGGUGCGAAAGCGUGGGGAGCAAACAGGAUUAGAAACCCGUGUAGU
rnacentral:rRNA from 1 species